rnacentral:rRNA from 1 species
UACGUAUGGUGCAAGCGUUAUCCGGAUUUACUGGGUGUAAAGGGAGCGCAGGCGGCACGGCAAGCCUGAUGUGAAAGCCCGCGGCCCAACCGCGGGACCGCAUUGGGAACUACCGGGCUGGAGUGCCGGAGAGGUAGGCGGAAUUCCUAGUGUAGCGGUGAAAUGCGUAGAUAUUAGGAGGAACACCAGUGGCGAAGGCGGCCUACUGGACGGUGACUGACGCUGAGGCUCGAAAGCGUGGGGAGCAAACAGG